GGGCGAUUAGCUCAGUUGGUUAGAGCGUUAGCUCGACACGCUAAAGGUCACUGGUUCAAGUCCAGUAUCGCCCACCA
rnacentral:tRNA from 1 species